rnacentral:rRNA from 1 species
AUCACUUGUGACCUUGCGCUAAUAGAUGAGCCUAAGUCGGAUUAGCUAGUUGGUGGGGUAAAGGCCUACCAAGGCGACGAUCUGUAGCGGGUCUGAGAGGAUGAUCCGCCACACUGGGACCGAGACACGGCCCAGACUUCUACGGGAGGCAGCAGUGGGGAAUAUUGGACAAUGGGGGGAACCCUGAUCCAGCCAUGCCGCGUGUGUGAAGAAGGCCUUUUGGUUGUAAAGCACUUUAAGCGAGGAGGAGGCUACUCUAGUUAAUACCUAGAGAUAGUGGACGUUACUCGCAGAAUAAGCACCGGCUAAUUCUGUGCCAGCAGCCGCGGUAAUACAGAGGGUGCGAGCGUUAAUCGGAUUUACUGGGCGUAAAGCGUGCGUAGGUGGCCAAUUAAGUCAAAUGUGAAAUCCCCGAGCUUAACUUGGGAAUUGCAUUCGAUACUGGUUGGCUAGAGUAUGGGAGAGGAUGGUAGAAUUCCAGGUGUAGCGGUGAAAUGCGUAGAGAUCUGGAGGAAUACCGAUGGCGAAGGCAGCCAUCUGGCCUAAUACUGACACUGAGGUACGAAAGCAUGGGGAGCAAACAGGAUUAGAUACCCUGGUAGUCCAUGCCGUAAACGAUGUCUACUAGCCGUUGGGGUCUUUGAGACUUUAGUGGCGCAGCUAACGCGAUAAAGUAGACCNCCUGGGGAGUACGGUCGCAAGAC